rnacentral:sRNA from 12 species
CUAAGGUGAGCGGUAAGUCCGCUGUAAGUUGUUUCUGGUGUUCCCUUCCAUCGGUAGGCCAGAGCCAGGACGACAAAAACUUGCAGGGCGCGCUCAUUUU